rnacentral:misc_RNA from 1 species
GCCUACUCAGAAUUCUCGCCGCUUCUCCCGAUUUUGAAUAUCAAAGAGGCCGACGCGUCGCAUGCACCCUCCCCCCUCUGCUGCCUUCUAUGAACGGGCAACCCUCCUCUUCCCUCUUCAACCUUGUCUCUAUACAUCAGUCCCUUUCGGGAGCUCGAACGGAUCGAAAAUGAAAAAGGCUCGAGGACACGUGAAGUAGUUGGCGAUGGGGCGGGGAAGGGAGUGUUUAAGACAGCAACGGAGUGGGUGCAGCGGGAAGACGGCAGUAAAGGCGAAAGAAAGGGUUGAGGUGGCGGCAGAACUUCUAAGGGGAAGAUAUGGAGUCACCAAU